rnacentral:rRNA from 1 species
AGUGAACGCUGGCGGUAGGCCUAACACAUGCAAGUCGAACGGCAGCACAGUAAGAGCUUGCUCUUACGGGUGGCGAGUGGCGGACGGGUGAGGAAUACAUCGGAAUCUACUUUUUCGUGGGGGAUAACGUAGGGAAACUUACGCUAAUACCGCAUACGACCUACGGGUGAAAGCAGGGGAUCUUCGGACCUUGCGCGAUUGAAUGAGCCGAUGUCGGAUUAGCUAGUUGGCGGGGUAAAGGCCCACCAAGGCGACGAUCCGUAGCUGGUCUGAGAGGAUGAUCAGCCACACUGGAACUGAGACACGUUCCAGACUGCUACGGGAGGCAGCAGUGGGGAAUAUUGGACAAUGGGCGAAAGCCUGAUCCAGCCAUACCGCGUGGGUGAAGAAGGCCUUCGGGCCGUAAAGCCUUUUUGUUGGGAAAGAAAAGCAGCAGGUUAAUACCCCGCUGUUCUGACGGUACCCAAAGAAUAAGCACCGGCUAACUUCGUG